CAAAGAACUUUGGAGAGAGAGUUCAAAGGACGUGAAACCAUUUGGAAGUAAACUCAUGGCGCUGUGAUAAUGUCGUCGGGAUUCAGGUUGAACUGACGGUGCGAAGAACUCCGCUAAGAAGGUGGACAGCGCUCGAUGUUCGACUGCACUUCUCGUCGGCCCACGUGACACCCUGUCUUGGCACGCAGCGGCUCGCGGUGCGAAAGCCUGCUCUUCGGAGUGGGUCCCUUGCUCGUGGGUUCAGUUGCUACGCUGGGACUUGAGAACGCCGUUGGCUAGAGAGCGUUGAAGCUCGGUUGGACUGUUGCCUGAAGGCCGAAAGGUCGGACGGCUUCGCCACUGGGUGGAUGCGUUACCGGCAGUGUCGCGAUAACGGCAGUUACCCAUGAGACCCGUCUUGAAACACGGACCAAGGAGUCUAGCAUGUGUGCGAGUCGUAGGGUUUCCAUACCCGAAGGCGAAAUGAAAGUAAAUGACAGCUGAGAUCCUCGCUCUGCGGGGCGCAUCAGCCUACCGUUAUUCUUGCAUUGUCAACUUAGCGGAUAGUGAGCAUACACGCUAGGACCCGAAAGAUGGUGAACUAUGCCUGAACUGGACGAAGCCAGAGGAAACUCUGGUGGAGGUCCGUAGCGGUUCUGACGUGCAAAUCGAUCGUCAGAUUUGGGUAUAGGGGCGAAAGACUAAUCGAACCAUC
rnacentral:rRNA from 1 species